rnacentral:ncRNA from 1 species
AGAAAGUUUUAUUCUGGCUUUAUAUAAGAUUUUUUUAUUUAUUAAAUGCAUUUAUGGAUAGAUUAUUAUUAGUAUUAAUUGGUAUUAUAUAAAUUUAAUUUAUGUUAAAGAAAUAAAAUUUUUGAGUGGUAAAAUUUGUGCCAGCAACUGCGGUUACACAAAUGCUUUUAUUUUAUAUAAUUUAAAUUUUAAUUUUUUGGUUUAUUAUUUUUAUCAUUAUAUUUAAGGUGAAAUUUAAUAUUAUGUGUAAAUUUAUAUUAAUUUAUUUAAAGUUAUUAAUAGUUAAAACUAGGAUUAGAUACCCUACUAUUAUUAAGAAGGCUUGAAUUUAGAGUAGUAGCUGUUGCAAUCAGGAAACUAAAAGAAUUUGGCGGUAGUUAUUCAGUUUAGAGGAAUAUGUUUUUUAAAUGAUAAUCCACAAAUAUCUUACUUAAUUUUAUUCAUUAUGUAUAUCUCCGUCUGAAAAAGUUUUUUUAAAAUAUAUUUUAGGCAUCAAUCAUUGAAUUAAGUCAGGUCAAGAUGCAGAUUAUAGUUAAGUUAAAAUGUAUUACAAUAAAUUUAUUUUUGGAUUAAAAUGAAAAUUUUCAUGAAACUGGAUUUAACAGUAAAGUUGUUUUUAUAAUAAUAAUUUGAAUUUUGUUAAUAAUUAUGCACAUAUUGCCCGUCAUUCUCUUUUCUUAAGAGACAAGUCGUAACAAAGUAAAUUUACUGGAAAGUGAAUUUGGUUUCAU